rfam:Perkinsus marinus ATCC 50983 gcontig_1104296507666, whole genome shotgun sequence.
GACAGUCUGGCCGAGCGGUCUAAGGCGCCAGCUUCAGGCGCUGGUCCGAAAGGGCGCGAGUUCGAAUCUCGCGGCUGUUA